CAUCCUCCUUAUACAUUAAGGCUAUUUAGUUGCAGGGAUAUAAGAUGGGAUGUGGUUUAACAAAACAACCUAAUCAUUUUUCUUAAAAAAGUCUCAACAAUUCUGGAAUGUUGUGCGUUUCUAGUAGCCUACAUUCUAUCCAUGGAAGGCAGGUGGUGUCAUUGAAGAUUUGAGUUUUAUAUUGUACUUUAAAGUCCUCUAUCCACAACUAAAAAUUCUUGCUGAAGUCAAGAUGUUUCAUGGAAGUGAUUAAAAUAUUAUCCAGAUGCACCAAAAGUGCAGCCUGAACCAGUCUAGGAUGCACCAUUGGCAUACCCUGUGAAUGUGAAAAGUCCAUCACAAAAACCUCCAAUUACAGGAUGGAAAACUGGAAUCACAAGUUUCCAUGAAGGCUGGAAUCACAAUGGCAAGAGUCUUCUCGUGUCUGCAUGUUCGUGAGAAACAAAAGGAGGUGGAUUGAAGAAACUGGAGGCCCAUAAACCAUCAUCACAUUUCUACAAAUAUGUAAGAUUGGAAAUGAGGACUAUUAGAUCAACAGUAUUGUGAAGACUGGGGACACAGACUGAAAGAGGAAAUACUUGGUUCUCCAGACCUGGCUACAUUUUCUCCACUAUCUCAUACAGAAUAAUGAGCCCCGCCCCCGAUACCUCUGAACUGACUUCAUAAUUAAAUUUUCAUUAUUUCUGCUUGCCCUAUUUUUGCAGUUUUAACUUUUCCAGAGACCUCAGUUAGAUGCACCUUAAAUAGGAGAGUUAAAUGAAUUUUCUCAUUUAGGAAAGUUUCUAAUUGGUAGCUUUCAAGGAUAUAGGUAUUUAAAAUCAGCCUUGUUGUGCUUCAGUACAGUUAUAUCUUCUAUUUAGAACCAGGUUAUUGGAAUCUAAUCCAAACAUCAAU